GAUGAACGCUGGCGGCGUGCCUAACACAUGCAAGUCGAGCGAAGCGGGGACGGGGGAGUAACACGUGGAUAACCUCCUAUAAGACUGGGAAAACUUCGGGAAACCGGAGCCAAACCGGAAACUGAUAGAUGGAUAUGCGCUGCAUUAGCUAGUUGGUAAGGUAACGGCUUACAAAGGCAACGAUGCAUAGCCGACCUGAGAGGUUGAUCGGCCACACUGGAACUGAGCCACGGUCCAGACUCCUACGGGAGGCAGCAGUAGGGAAUCUUCCACAAUGGGCGAAAGCCUGACGGAGCAACGCCGCGUGAGUGAUGAAGGUCUUCGGAUCGUAAAACUCUGUUAUUAGGGAAGCGGUACCUAAUCAAGAAGCCACGGCUAACUACGUGCCAGCCGCCGCGGUAAUUC
rnacentral:rRNA from 1 species